rnacentral:rRNA from 1 species
CCAGAUCAGAAGCGAGAAUGUUGACAUGAGUAGCGACAAAGAGGGUGAGAGACCCUCUCGCCGUAAGUCCAAGGGUUCCUGCUUAAAGCUAAUCUGAGCAGGGUAAGCCGGCCCCUAAGGCGAGGCCGAAAGGCGUAGUCGAUGGGAACCACGUUAAUAUUCGUGGGCCAGGAGGAAGUGACGGAUCUCGAAGGUAGUUUGCCCUUAUCGGAUUGGGUGGGCUGCUCAGAGGUUCCAGGAAAUAGCCCUCCAUCAGACCGUACCCUAAACCGACACAGGUGGACUGGUAGAGUAUACCAAGGCGCUUGAGAGAACCACGUUAAAGGAACUCGGCAAAAUGCCUCCGUAAGUUCGCGAGAAGGAGGCCCCAUAUCUGGGCAACCAGGUGUGGGGGGCACAAACUAGGGGGUGGCGACUGUUUACUUAAAACACAGGGCUGUGCGAAGCCGUAAGGCGACGUAUACAGUCUGACGCCUGCCCGGUGCUGGAAGGUUAAAAGGAGGGGUGCAAGCUCUGAAUUGAAGCCCCAGUAAACGGCGGCCGUAACAAUAACGGUCCUAAGGUAGCGAAAUUCCUUGUCGGGUAAGUUCCGACCUGCACGAAUGGCGUAACGAUCUCCCCGCUGUCUCUAACGUGGACUCAGCGAAAUUGAACUGUGUGUCAAGAUGCACACUACCCGCGGUUAGACGGAAAGACCCCAUGCACCUUUACUCCAGCUUUGCACUGGUAUCAGGAUUGUGAUGUGCAGGAUAGGUGGUAGGCAUCGAAGCGGGGACGCCAGUUCUCGUGGAGCCUCCCUUGAGAUACCACCCUUCGCCAUCUUGAUAUCUAACCGCGGCCCGUUAUCCGGGUCCGGGACCCUGCAUGGUGGGGAGUUUGACUGGGGCGGUCGCCUCCCAAACAGUAACGGAGGCGCGCGAAGGUAGGCUCAGACCGGUCGGAAAUCGGUCGUUGAGUGCAAUGGCAGAAGCCUGCCUGACUGCAAGUCUGACAAGACGAGCAGAGACGAAAGUCGGUCAUAGUGAUCCGGUGGUCCCAAGUGGGAGGGCCAUCGCUCAACGGAUAAAAGGUACGCUGGGGAUAACAGGCUGAUGAUGCCCAAUAGUCCAUAUCGACGGCAUCGUUUGGCACCUCGAUGUCGGCUCAUCUCAUCCUGGGGCUGGAGCAGGUCCCAAGGGUAUGGCUGUUCGCCAUUUAAAGAGGUACGUGAGCUGGGUUUAGAACGUCGUGAGACAGUUCGGUCCCUAUCUGCCGUGGGUGUAGGAGACUUGAGAAGAGUUGCCCCUAGUACGAGAGGACCGGGGUGAACGAACCACUGGUGGACCAGUUGUCGUGCCAACGGCAGUGCUGGGUAGCUAUGUUCGGACAGGAUAACCGCUGAAGGCAUCUAAGCGGGAAGCCCCCUUCAAAACAAGGUCUCCCUUGAGAGCCGUGGAAGACCACCACGUCGAUAGGCCGGAGGUGUAAGUGCAGCAAUGCAUUCAGCUGACCGGUACUAAUUGCUCU